AUUUUUGAAAAGGAGGAAGCUGAAG
rnacentral:piRNA from 1 species